AAGUAAUUGAAAGAACACAAGGUCGGAGUCCCCAGGACAAGGAUGAAAUCAUACAAGAUGAAAGUUGAGAUCAGGUCUGACUUCUGCACAAUGACUGAUCAGGAGAUGCCAAGAAAAUGAUGUUAAAUUGAGCUAAAAGAAGUGCAGUUUUCUGGUAAUGUCUACACUUACAGAAGACUGUGAACAAGGGACCCAGUGGCAGUUUUGAAUAUGCAGUAAGCAAUUUCAACAAAUGAUAAUGCUAUUUUAGGCAGA
rnacentral:lncRNA from 1 species